rnacentral:rRNA from 1 species
UACGUAGGGGGCAAGCGUUGUCCGGAUUUAUUGGGCGUAAAGAGCGUGUAGGCGGCCAGGCAGGUCAGCUGUGAAAACUCGAGGCUCAACCUCGAGACGUCGGUUGAAACCGUUUGGCUAGAGUCCGGAAGAGGAGAGUGGAAUUCCCGGUGUAGCGGUGAAAUGCGCAGAUAUCGGGAAGAACACCCGUGGCGAAGGCGGCUCUCUGGGACGGUACUGACGCUGAGACGCGAAAGCGUGGGGAGCGAACAGG